GAAAUGUGGGGACCCAAGAAAAAGCCGCUAACUUUCUUCUUUAGCGGUUUAACUCCGUUUACAUUUCU
rnacentral:tRNA from 1 species